UACGGAGGAUCCGAGCGUUAUCCGGAUUUAUUGGGUUUAAAGGGUGCGUAAGCGGCCUGUUAAGUCAGGGGUGAAAGACGGUAGCUCAACUAUCGCAGUGCCCUUGAUACUGAUGGGCUUGAAUGUACUAGAGGUAGGCGGAAUGUGACAAGUAGCGGUGAAAUGCAUAGAUAUGUCACAGAACACCAAUUGCGAAGGCAGCUUACUAUGGUAUAAUUGACGCUGAGGCACGAAAGCGUGGGGAUCAAACAGG
rnacentral:rRNA from 1 species